rnacentral:rRNA from 1 species
AAUUUGAAAUCUGGCGUCUUUGGCGUCCGAGUUGUAAUUUGCAGAGGGCGCUUUGGCAUUGGCAGCGGUCCAAGUUCCUUGGAACAGGACGUCACAGAGGGUGAGAAUCCCGUACGUGGUCGCUAGCCUUUACCGUGUAAAGCCCCUUCGACGAGUCGAGUUGUUUGGGAAUGCAGCUCUAAAUGGGAGGUAAAUUUCUUCUAAAGCUAAAUACUGGCCAGAGACCGAUAGCGCACAAGUAGAGUGAUCGAAAGAUGAAAAGCACUUUGGAAAGAGAGUUAAAAAGCACGUGAAAUUGUUGAAAGGGAAGCGCUUGCAGCCAGACUUGCCUGUAGUUGCUCAUCCGGGUUUUUACCCGGUGCACUCUUCUACGGGCAGGCCAGCAUCAGUUUGGGCGGUUGGAUAAAGGUCUCUGUCAUGUACCUCCUCUCGGGGAGAUCUUAUAGGGGAGACGACAUGCAACCAGCCUGGACUGAGGUCCGCGCAUCUGCUAGGAUGCUGGCGUAAUGGCUGUA